GACGAACGCUGGCGGCGUGCUUAACACAUGCAAGUCGAACGGAAAGGCCCCUUUGGGGGUACUCGAGUGGCGAACGGGUGAGUAACACGUGAGUAACCUGCCCUUGACUUCGGGAUAACUUCAGGAAACUGGGGCUAAUACCGGAUAGGAAUCCUUGCUGCAUGGUGGGGGUUUGAAAGCUUCGGCGGUUUUGGAUGGACUCGCGGCUUAUCAGCUUGUUGGUGGGGUAGUGGCUUACCAAGGCUUUGACGGGUAGCCGGCCUGAGAGGGCGACCGGCCACAUUGGGACUGAGAGACGGCCCAGACUCCUACGGGAGGCAGCAGUGGGGAAUAUUGCACAAUGGGCGGAAGCCUGAUGCAGCAACGCCGCGUGCGGGAUGACGGGCUUCGGGUUGAAAACCGCUUUCAGCAGGGGCGAAGCUUGUGGUGACGGUACCUGCAGAAGAAGCACCGGCUAACUACGUG
rnacentral:rRNA from 1 species